rnacentral:rRNA from 1 species
GAUGAACGCUAGCUACAGGCUUAACACAUGCAAGUCGAGGGGUAACGAGAGGAAAGCUUGCUUUCCUUGUCGACGACCGGCGCACGGGUGAGUAACGCGUAUCCAACCUGCCCCCAACUAGGGAAUAACCUUGCGAAAGUAAGACUAAUACCCUAUAAUUUCCUCAGAUGUCAUCUGACGAGGAAUAAAGAUUUAUCGGUUGUGGAUGGGGAUGCGUCUGAUUAGCUUGUUGGCGGGGUAACGGCCCACCAAGGCAACGAUCAGUAGGGGUUCUGAGAGGAAGGUACCCAACAUUGGGACUGAGACACGGUCCAAACUCCUACGGGAGGCAGCAGUGAGGAAUAUUGGUCAAGGGGCGGAAGCCUGAACCAGCCAAGUAGCGUGCAGGAUGACGGCCCUAUGGGUUGUAAACUGCUUUUAUACAGGAAUAAAGUUAGCCACGUGUGGUUAUUUGUAGGUACUGUAUGAAUAAGGACCGGCUAAUUCCGUGCCAGCAGCCGCCGUAA